rnacentral:rRNA from 1 species
GAGUUUGAUCAUGGCUCAGGAUGAACGCUAGCGGCAGGCUUAAUACAUGCAAGGCGAAGGGUCAGCAAUGACACUGUCGUACGGGUGCGUAACGCGUAUGCAACCUACCUAUCACUGGGGGAUAGCCCGGGGAAACCCGGAUUAAUACCGCAUAAAACAGGGGCACCGCAUGGUGAUAUUUGUUAAAGAUUUAUUGGUGAUAGAUGGGCAUGCGUUCGAUUAGCUAGUUGGCGGGGUAACGGCCCACCAAGGCGACGAUCGAUAGGGGAGCUGAGAGGUUGAUCCCCCACACGGGCACUGAGAUACGGGCCCGACUCCUACGGGAGGCAGCAGUAGGGAAUAUUGGGCAAUGGAUGCAAGUCUGACCCAGCCAUGCCGCGUGCCGGAUGAAGGCCCUCAGGGUUGUAAACGGCUUUUAUUCGGGAAGAAGAGCAGGGAUGCGUCCUUGUGUGACGGUACCGAAUGAAUAAGCACCGGCUAACUCCGUGCCAGCAGCCGCGGUA